UACGUAGGGGGCGAGCGUUGUCCGGAGUUACUGGGCGUAAAGCGCACGCAGGCGGUCUGCUAAGUUUGGAGUGACAGUUGGUGGCUCAACCACCAAAGUGCUUCGAAAACUGACAGACUUGAGGGCUUCAGAGGGACACGGAAUUCCGGGUGGAGUGAGUGAAAUGCGUAGAGAUCCGGAGGAACACCGAAGGCGAAGGCAGUGUCCUGGGGAGUACCUGACGCUCAGGUGCGAAAGCUAGGGGAGCGAACGGG
rnacentral:rRNA from 1 species